UGCGUAGGUGGUUGUUUAAGUCAGUGGUGAAAGCCCAUCGCUCAACGAUGGAACUGCCAUUGAUACUGUAAGACUUGAAUGCUUAGGAAGUAACUAGAAUAUGUAGUGUAGCGGUGAAAUGCUUAGAUAUUACAUGGAAUACCAAUUGCGAAGGCAGGUUACUACUAAGUGAUUGACGCUGAUGGACGAAAGCGUGGGGAGCGAACAGGAUUAGAUACCCCAGUA
rnacentral:rRNA from 1 species